rnacentral:tRNA from 1 species
GGCCCGUUAGCUCAGUUGGUUAGAGCGUCGUGCUAAUAACGCGAAGGUCGCGGGUUCGAUCCCCUCACGUGCCA